CAAGAGCCCCGAAAAGGGGCCUUCGACC
rnacentral:rRNA from 1 species